rnacentral:rRNA from 1 species
UACGUAGGGGGCAAGCGUUGUCCGGAAUCAUUGGGCGUAAAGAGCGUGUAGGCGGCUCGAUAAGUCUCCUGUGAAAGUCCAGGGCUCAACCCUGGAAGGCCGGUGGAAACUGUCGGGCUAGAGUCCGGAAGAGGCGAGUGGAAUUCCCGGUGUAGCGGUGAAAUGCGCAGAUAUCGGGAGGAACACCAAUGGCGAAGGCAGCUCGCUGGGACGGUACUGACGCUGAGACGCGAAAGCGUGGGGAGCAAACAGG